GUCCCCGUUCGUCUAGAGGCCCAGGACACCGCCCUUUCACGGCGGUAACAGUUUGGGGUUCGAAUCCCCUAGGGGAGCGCCA
rnacentral:tRNA from 1 species